rnacentral:rRNA from 1 species
AUGAACGCUAGCUACAGGCUUAACACAUGCAAGUCGAGGGGCAUCAGGAAGAAAGCUUGCUUUCUUUGCUGGCGACCGGCGCACGGGUGAGUAACACGUAUCCAACCUGCCCUUUACUCGGGGAUAGCCUUUCGAAAGAAAGAUUAAUACCCGAUAGUAUAAUGAUUCCGCAUGGUUUGAUUAUUAAAGGAUUCCGGUAAAGGAUGGGGAUGCGUUCCAUUAGGUUGUUGGUGAGGUAACGGCUCACCAAGCCUUCGAUGGAUAGGGGUUCUGAGAGGAAGGUCCCCCACAUUGGAACUGAGACACGGUCCAAACUCCUACGGGAGGCAGCAGUGAGGAAUAUUGGUCAAUGGGCGAUGGCCUGAACCAGCCAAGUAGCGUGAAGGAUGACUGCCCUAUGGGUUGUAAACUUCUUUUAUAUUAGAAUAAAGUGCAGUAUGUAUACUGUUUUGUAUGUAUAAUAUGAAUAAGGAUCGGCUAACUCCGUGCCAGCAGCCGCGGUAAUACGGAGGAUCCGAGCGUUAUCCGGAUUUAUUGGGUUUAAAGGGAGCGUAGGUGGACUGGUAAGUCAGUUGUGAAAGUUUGCGGCUCAACCGUAAAAUUGCAGUUGAUACUGUCAGUCUUGAGUACAGUAGAGGUGGGCGGAAUUCGUGGUGUAGCGGUGAAAUGCUUAGAUAUCACGAAGAACUCCGAUUGCGAAGGCAGCUCACUGGACUGCAACUGACACUGAUGCUCGAAAGUGUGGGUAUCAAACAGGAUUAGAUACCCUGGUAGUCCACACAGUAAACGAUGAAUACUCGCUGUUUGCGAUAUACAGUAAGCGGCCAAGCGAAAGCAUUAAGUAUUCCACCUGGGGAGUACGCCGGCAACGGUGAAACUCAAAGGAAUUGACGGGGGCCCGCACAAGCGGAGGAACAUGUGGUUUAAUUCGAUGAUACGCGAGGAACCUUACCCGGGCUUAAAUUGCAGUGGAAUGAUGUGGAAACAUGUCAGUGAGCAAUCACCGCUGUGAAGGUGCUGCAUGGUUGUCGUCAGCUCGUGCCGUGAGGUGUCGGCUUAAGUGCCAUAACGAGCGCAACCCUUAUCUUUAGUUACUAACAGGUCAUGCUGAGGACUCUGGAGAGACUGCCGUCGUAAGAUGUGAGGAAGGUGGGGAUGACGUCAAAUCAGCACGGCCCUUACGUCCGGGGCUACACACGUGUUACAAUGGGGGGUACAGAAGGCAGCUACCUGGUGACAGGAUGCUAAUCCCAAAAGCCUCUCUCAGUUCGGAUCGAAGUCUGCAACCCGACUUCGUGAAGCUGGAUUCGCUAGUAAUCGCGCAUCAGCCACGGCGCGGUGAAUACGUUCCCGGGCCUUGUACACACCGCCCGUCAAGCCAUGGGAGCCGGGGGUACCUGAAGUACGUAACCGCAAGGAGCGUCCUAUGGUAAAACUGGUGACUGGGGCU